UACCACCCAUUCCCCAAAUUCCUACAAAGAGAACAUCUUCUGACCCCAUGUUCAAUAAUGAUUGAAUUUGCUCAACUCGUGAAUCAAUUCCAACUAAGCCAUUAAAAUCACUGGGCGACAUAUGAAUGAGCCAUUCCUUUAAAAUGACUUUGGCAACUUCCUCUGUUAGCUUGUGAUCAUCAGCCCAGUCCCGAGAAUUCCAGCCAUCAAUGAAGGCCAAUUUGAUUAGAGCAUCCCUCCAGCUCUGCACCUUCUCCACCACAGAAGGAUCUUUCUCAUGCUGGGUGAAAACUUGUGCGAACCAACCCGUUUGCUCUUUAACCUCCAAGGGAUCCACAUUAUAGAAAAUGGGGAGAACAGAGAGUCCCAUUGUUUCCUUACAUUGGAUGAUCUUUAGAAGCUCAUCUAAGCACAAACCGGAAGAAGCAUAGCUUUCAGAAAUGACAACGACUGCAAAUCUUGAAAAUUCGAUAGCCUUUAUGGAUUUCUCUCUCCCAAGCUUUUGAUUAUCUUUGAAGCAGAGGAAUCCUUUGCGUUCCAGCUCUUUAUAGAGAAGAGCAACAAAGGGCUUGCGGUUAUCGUCCACCCUGAAGCUCAAGAAGACAUGGUAAUAAUUCGACGAAGAAGGAAAGGAUUUUUCAACGAUGG
rnacentral:misc_RNA from 1 species